AGCUGCGACUGAGGAUGGCCGCAGGAGCAGCUCCUAGACUGCGGAUGGCGGCAGGAGCAGCCUAGCCUGCGGAGAGGCUACUGAAUGAAUGACCAUGUCUCACAAGAUUCCAUGCAAGUGAAAAUGAAGUUCAGCUCUAUGAAGACUUCAGCGACAAUCAUGUUUUAAGAAGGUUGACUUUGAACACAGGAGCAGCAUCUGCCAUUGCUCCUUCACAAAAUUUGUGAGAAGGCAGAUGGAGUUUUGUUAUGUUUCCCAACAUUAUCUCAAACUCCUUGCCAAAGAGAUCCUCUUGCCUGAAUGUAUUGAUGGGAUGACAGGAACCUGUCACACUUCCAGACACAAUGUUACCAUCUACCAAAGAGUCCACGAAAGUGAAAAUGUAUUUCAUCUCCUUUCCAGAAUUUGUGAGGAUGUAUGUCAUGGGUUUCUUGUGAUAAAACCACUGGACUCUUCAGGGAAGUCUUCCAGUUCCUGAUGACCAGUCUUUAACUAGGCAUUCGUGUCACAUCCAUGGGUCCUUCACCUCAUCAUGGCAUGAGUUCCUUCCACAUUUUUCUAGAAAUGUAAGUUUCAGGGUUUAUGUUUUAAUUUUAAUUCAUUGGAAUUGUUUUCUGUCUGGGAUGAGUUCAAUUUCAUUUGUUUACAUGUGCAUUUACAAUUUUUGUCACAUCACUUGAAGAGACUUCUAUUUUCACCAUUUGUAUUCUUGGCACACUUAUUGUAGGUCUACUUACUGUAUAUAUACUUCUGGGCUCUCUAUUAUGUGACUGCUUUACUUAUUCCAUUAAUCAUUUAUAUCAGCAUGAAGUCAUUGUUCAUACAUCUUCAUUUUCUGACACUGGAAGGUACUUCAUAUGUAUCUGACAAUUUUUGUGCUUUAGCCCUGCAAUCAAGCAUUUCUCCAAAGAAUGAUUUUGUUUUGUAAUUGGACUAUGGUAUUUUAAAACUAGAUGUGCUUGAUAUUCUUGGAUGGUUACCAG
rnacentral:lncRNA from 1 species